GACGAACGCUGGCGGCGUGCUUAACACAUGCAAGUCGAACGGAAAGGCCCUGCUUUUGUGGGGUGCUCGAGUGGCGAACGGGUGAGUAACACGUGAGUAACCUGCCCUUGACUUUGGGAUAACUUCAGGAAACUGGGGCUAAUACCGGAUAGGAGCUCCUGCUGCAUGGUGGGGGUUGGAAAGUUUCGGCGGUUGGGGAUGGACUCGCGGCUUAUCAGCUUGUUGGUGGGGUAGUGGCUUACCAAGGCUUUGACGGGUAGCCGGCCUGUGAGGGUGACCGGACACAUUGGGACUGAGAUACGGCCCAGACUCCUACGGGAGGCAGCAGUGGGGAAUAUUGCACAAUGGGCGGAAGCCUGAUGCAGCAACGCCGCGUGCGGGAUGACGGCCUUCGGGUUGUAAAACGCUUUCGCCUGUGACGAAGCGUGAGUGACGGUAAUGGGUAAAGAAGCACCGGCUAACUACGUG
rnacentral:rRNA from 1 species